UACGAAGGGGGCUAGCGUUGUUCGGAAUUACUGGGCGUAAAGCGCGCGCAGGCGGUCUUCCAAGUCAGUGGUGAAAGCCCGGAGCUCAACUCCGGAACUGCCAUUGAAACUGUAAGACUUGAGGAUGAGAGAGGUGAGUGGAAUUCCCAGUGUAGAGGUGAAAUUCGUAGAUAUUGGGAAGAACACCGGUGGCGAAAGCGGCGCACUGGACCACUUCUGACGCUGAGGCGCGAAAGCUAGGGGAGCAAACAGG
rnacentral:rRNA from 1 species